ACCGAGGCGGUGGAGAGCCUGGAUCCCGGGGCCCUGGGCCGGACGGCGGAGAUGCCCCAAACUGACACGGCCGCCAUCUUGGAGACAAUGGGGAAACUGAGGCAUUGAGGGUUGGAUUUGGCCUCAGUGGCACUGCAAGCAGCCGUGUACCCAGGAUUCGCGCUCCAACACUGCCACAAACUCAUUUACAAAGUGCUUUCCUCCCGGCCCUUUGAAAAUGAAGAUGCAAAUGUUAUCAUCCCCAUUUUACAGGCAAUCUUUCCUGAAGGAGCAAGGCACCUGUAGAGAGAAACAGGAGGAAGCAGGUGCCAGUCAAGUCAAAUCACCAUCACUUUGACCACCACUUCCCCUCAGACCUCAGUAAGAAAGCCCAGGACCCUGAACCCAAGAGCCUUGGUAAUAGCAAUGCUUCCAGUCCAGUGCCCUCAGCCAUCAUCUUAGGAAGCAAUCAACCUCUGUGAAGAUGCAACCUACCAUCUGCUCCUGAAGGUGCUACAAGCCACAGCUACUAAGGCCCAGAAUAAAUAAGUUCUUCCCAUCAAAGUCCUUAGAACUGUCAAAUGGCUCUACUCUGAGCAGCAUAUAAGAAUUUUGUUCUGAGCCCCAGAUACAUUAGUAGAAGGGUAAAGCAGAACCAAUCUUAUCUCCCUUCACUGUGAGCACUAUGACUGUGGGACAGAGCCAAGCCAAGGCAUUUGUGAACCCCAAACAAGAGUCACCAACUAAAUUAAACAUGUGACUAGAUAAAAGUAGGUGACACCUGUUUUUCACCAUUGGGGCACAGAGUACUAUAGAGGAAGGAUAAAAAGAAAAAAUUGGCUUUGAUCCUACAACUGCAACCUAGGCAAUUUAAACCACGACCUUGGCUACCAACUUGCUUCAGCCCUCCAUGGGGACAGAAACCAAGACCCUGAAACCAAGAGCCUUGGAAAUUGCCAGUGCCCCCCAAACCUGCUUGUGGUCCAACUUCUACAGCCAUCCAAGAGGGGAGACAUUCCUCCUUAUCAUGACCAACAAUAAUUGCUGAUGAUCCACCACCAACAGGCAGAGGAGUUCUGGGCGUGGCAGGGCUGCUUCCAGCCCAGCCCUCACAGCCAUCAUCUGGGCAAGCAACUCCUGUGGAGAAGGGGUCAGCCAUCUUCAGCAGUGGCCAAACAACUGCCACACAUGGGUCAGCUAGCCCAACCUAGCUAAAACAGCAAGCAAGAGGCAGGAGGCAGCACGUGCCAAGCAUCACCAGCACUUGGACUACCACCUCCUCUCAGCCCCUGAUGGGACCAAUCCAGGAACCUGAACCCAAGAGCCCUAGGAAGAGUGACAUUAAAUAAUGGCAUGAUUAAAGACGCGUUAACAUCUGCUUUGCUGCUGCACCCUAAAGACUGUGGCGUCUUUCCAUGUGACUUGCCAUUGAAACCUUUCAGAUGUGUUUUCUGUCCCAUUAGAAGGUGAUUUCCUUGAAAGCAAGAACUACUUUUCUAUUUGUAUCUCAGCACUUAGUACAGCGUUUUGCGUAGAGUG